rnacentral:tRNA from 1 species
CAAAGAGUAGCUUAAACAAAGCACCUAGUUUACACCUAGAAGAUAUCCUAUAUAAAGAUCCCUUUGAU